CGAAACCAGUCUAUUAAUAAGUCCAUGCUGUUGCUCCCAUUAGAUACCGAGCACGGGUUGGCCUCGCUUCAGUCAACUCACGAUGACCGUCUCCUGCCAACCCCCGUCAUGGACCCUGAGCCCUGGCGGGCAGGGAGAGGGUGCAGCAAGCGGGAGAAUGCGGGCACGCGUCAGCAGAUUCCCCAGCUCCUUUCUACCUGAGUCAGGCCAGUGAACUGACCUCCCGCUCACAGCCCAGGAGAGACAGAGAGAGAGAGCCGACACACCCUUUGAGAACAGACCGAAAAACAAUUCCAUCAGAGAGAAACUAUUUGCAUUAGAUACCUUGUGAGGAGCGACAAGAUUAUAAAACAAAUGAUCUCUCUCAGUGUAAACAAGAAGCAUCACCGCAUCGGUACGUUGGAAAGCACCUGUCAGGGUUGUUUUUUUUUGUUUUUUUUUGAUCGUCUGGUACAGUGAGACUGCUCGUCUCACCUGUCGGCAAGCUCAGGUUGUUUUCUCGACUCUUCUCCUCGACAGACGUGGAGGCAGGCCUGGGCUUGCCCCUGAGGCUAGAAACCAGUUUGGUUGUUUUGUACUUCUUGAAAUUCAAUUGGGAUCAGGUGUUUUUUUUUUUUUACCAAGCCCAGCAAACUGAACACAUUUGUCCUUGUAGAAGUACUGUAGAAGUCUAUAUUAGGCUAAUCAUUUAUCAUACAAAAUACAGUAUUUGUAGUGUAGCCACAGUUUCUCUAACACGUUUGCAAAAGCUGUAAAGUGAAACCUUCCGGAACACCAAAAUGGAAAAGCAUCUCACAAGCAAAAUGGCUACAAAAUAGCCUGAAAUGUUUGCAACAGAUGUCGCCAGGAAUAUUGUCUUGCAGAGGAUUAAUUUAUUGAUUUUGGUCACAUUUAUGAGUUUAUAUUUUAAAAGGGCCCAGUUUUAAGAUACAAUGCCAAAUGGCAUUGGAGUAGAAACUAAAUAUAAAACACUUGGAUGUUGUUCAUGUUGGGGAUACAGAACUUAAUUUGGAAUUGCUGCUAUUAGAGCUAGCAUAUGUCUGGCUAAGUAGACGUCCUUAGAAAUCUGUUUACUUCAUUGAUAUGGUGAUACGAAUAGGAUAUCUGGAUAUAUUUAAUACAGAGCCAUAUUAAGUUUCUGCCAUCUUAAUUGUCCAUAUGAGUAAUACGCUGUUAUUGAUUUUUUUGUCCCAUAUACGUAUGUAGGUCCCUUAUAUGGGCAUUGCUAAAAUGCAUAUUCCUGGGGGGAAAAAAAACCUGUUCCUGAUUCUAUGAAUUAACAGCUUUUGAAUGAGGAGUGCUUUCUUAGAGCUUGUAUGAAAAUCUGUUAGAUCUCCAGGAACAGGAUUUGGUGGCCAUGUUUUAAAGCAAUUCUGAAAGGCUAGAUCACAGAAAGGUGGCAGAAAAUCUAAUUUGGAGGACAUUUGUACAAUACAGUUAGCUGUUACAAUUAAAUUAGUCAAUUACAAUGAGCUAUUUCUUGUGAUAUGAGGUAUCUGUGUGAAGUUUGAUAACUACUGUACCCAAAUCAAGAUUAUUAAUAAAACUUGAAAAAAAAAAAACA